rnacentral:rRNA from 1 species
GACGAACGCUGGCGGCGUGCCUAAUACAUGCAAGUAGAACGCUGAAGGAGGAGCUUGCCUCUCUGGAUGAGUUGCGAACGGGUGAGUAACGCGUAGGUAACCUGCCUGGUAGCGGGGGAUAACUAUUGGAAACGAUAGCUAAUACCGCAUAAGAGUAGAUGUUGCAUGACAUUUGCUUAAAAGGUGCAAUUGCAUCACUACCAGAUGGACCUGCGUUGUAUUAGCUAGUUGGUGGGGUAACGGCUCACCAAGGCGACGAUACAUAGCCGACCUGAGAGGGUGAUCGGCCACACUGGGACUGAGACACGGCCCAGACUCCUACGGGAGGCAGCAGUAGGGAAUCUUCGGCAAUAGACGGAAGUCUGACCGAGCAACGCCGCGUGAGUGAAGAAGGUUUUCGGAUCGUAAAGCUCUGUUGUAAGAGAAGAACGAGUGUGAGAGUGGAAAGUUCACACUGUGACGGUAUCUUACCAGAAAGGGACGGCUAACUACGUG